UCUGGGGAAUGUGGGAGGGGGCUCCUUCGUCGCUUCUUCAGCUGCUGCUGUACUCUCUCUUCCUUCUUCUUCAGAUAAGAGGUCAUGUUGUCAAAGGUGACCUUGUAAAGACUGCGGAAGGCAUCAUCUGCACCCACAGAGCCUGUGACAAGGACAAGAUGCCAGUCUGCAGGUCCUGAGCAGGGGUAGCACGGAAGUGAGGCCCAAACCCUCCAACCAUCUACUGGGGAACCUGAGACCAGCCAGUCAGUCACCACCAGGGCUCACUGGCUGGCCUGGCAGAGGGCAGACACCAUGCCACCCAAUUUUAAGACAGACAACUGAGCAAUCUGUGAACAUCCCUGAUGCCAGAGGAAGCAUGGGUACAGAAGGUGCCAAGAGAGGCACUCCAUGAGCACAGAGAAUGCUGGGUGCCCCCGCUGACCCUGACAGAACAUAGGAAGAAGUCCGUCACUGACAGCAAGGAAAUGUUUCUCACAGAUGUCUUCCCCACAGUCACGGCAACACGAGGUGCCUAGCAAGAGCCCCCUUACCAGAGACAAGCACAGAG